rnacentral:ribozyme from 1 species
UGCCCAGCAACUCAUAUUCUUACAUUCUCGUGGUACUGACCGGGGUACGAGUAACCUUGGGGAAGAUCGGGUAACCAACCCCGGUGGUAACUUUGGUCGUAUGCUGACAGGAAAUG